CCUUUCCUCCUCUCUUUGUCUAGUCCUUCUUCCCCCUCACCUCUCCUUUUCCUCCUCUUCCGUUUCAUAAUGAUUAAGAGUAUGGCUUCUGAUGUCAGCCUCCCUGGGUUCGAAUCCCUGCUGUGCCACACACUGGCUGCGUGGCGUUGGGCAAGCCACUUAAUUUCUCUGUGCUUUGGCUUCCUGAGCUGUACAGUGGGAUGCUAACAGUGUCUCUCUUGAAGGGUGCCAUGGGUGCCAGGUGAGCGUUAGCUGCUUAUCAUUCGUGUUCCUUCCUCCCCUCCUCUUCUUCUCCUCCUGGUCUUAGAAGUCUGUCUCCCUCCCUCUCUCCAAGCCCUGUGACUCGCCUCUUACGUCUCUCUGCCCAGCAUCUUGGGCCUGUCUCUGGCCCCUGCCCUGCUGCUUCAUCCUCUCACUGCACGCACAGGAAGGAGAGCCCAGGCCUGGGGCCAGGUUGCCCCAUGAACAGUUGCUGAGCCAGGUGGCUGGAGCUCUUCCCUGGGGCCCCGCCCACGAUGAGUUCAGGAGCUGCCUUUGUGCACCCGUGACAGCCUCUCCUGGCGCCUCAUUUGGCAGAGCUGUGCAUCUGGCCCAGUUACUGUGGUAGCCUUGGAAGGCAGAGUGCUCUGGGGCUUCCUUGUCAUCUACCUGCGUGACCCUGCAUGAAGGGUAUGCCCAGCCCUCAGCUGGACUGCCAGCCCCACAGGCACCCUUGGUGCCCACCACACAGCAGGAGCUCAUCCACAGAUGGGCACAAA
rnacentral:lncRNA from 10 species